rnacentral:rRNA from 1 species
UAAUAAAGUUUAAAAGUAUGAUAAAAUAUGGUAAUUUAAAUGUAAGUAAUCAAAGUGAUUAUUAAGGAUGCCUAGCAAACAUUUAUUAAAGGACGGUCAGAAAGAAAAUCGAAAAGCUUGAAUUUGACUAUAUAAAUUAAAGUAUUUAUACUUUAAUUACAAUAGUAAAAGGAUAAUAUUAGAAUAAAAAAUAUACGCUAUAUUUGGAAAAUAAUAUUUAUCUCUUAUUUGUAGCGAUCCUAAGGUAAACCAAAAAAUAUAAACACAGUGAACUGAAACAUCUAAGUAACUGUAGGAAAGGAAAUCAACCGAGACUCCAUAAGUAGUGGUGAGCGAAAGUGGAAUUAGCCAAUAAAUAUAUUAAUAUUAGAAUCGUUUGGAAAAAGGAAUCCGUAGUAUGGUGAAAGCCCUGUAUAUAUUAAUAUUAUUUUAUAAAGUAACAUCAGUAGAAGAUAAUCUGCUGAAAAUUAAAAAUUUUUAAAAUUUUUGUUUAUAUAAAUAAUACAUAUAUAGUAUGUAUUAUUUGUUUCUCUUUUAUUAAUAUUUUUAAUAAAGGAGGAAUCUAUUUAAUUAUGUUUAAAGGUAAUUAAAUAGAUAUAAAUUAGGGGAACCAUCCUCUUAGGCUAAGUAUAAAUGUUUAGCGAUAGUGAAGAGUAACGUGAGUGAAAGGUGAAAGAGUUAGUUGUUAACCGAUGAUGUGAAAUUUAGACCUGAAUUAGUAAUCAUAUAAGCAAUUAGAGCUAAAUUUGUCUAAUCAAGACAACAUUAGUAAUAAUGUACCUUUUGUAUAAUGGGUUAGCGAGUUGAUAAUAGUAGCAAGGUUAUAACCCUAGCGAAAGCAACUAACAUAAUAUGUGGUAUAGUUACUAUUAUCAGACCCGAAACGCAGUGAUUUAUCCAUGACCAGAUUAGUAAUUAGAUCGAAUGGUUCAAUGUUGCAGUAUUGUCCAAUGAGUUGUGGAUUGUAGGUGAAAGGCCAAUCUGACUGCGAGAUUGCUGGUACUCCUCGAAACAUAUUUUAGUAUGACUUUUUGUUUAGAAUUUAUGCAGGUACAGCACUGAUUAUCACACAGAAUUUUUAUUUUUAUAGGAAUAAUGUACAAUUGGGGGGUCGUUGAGACUUUAUCAUUGGUAAUUAACCUCGGAACAACAUAAAUUAACAUGCAAAAAUUUCAGACUAUUCAUGAUAAGGUGGAUAGUCGAGACGGAAACAGCCGUGAACAUAGAAUAAGGUCCCAAAGUAAUGAUUAAGUGAAAAUAAGGAAGUGGUGAUUUGAAAACAACUAUAUAGUUAGCUUGGCAGUUGCUAUCUUUUAAUGAAAGUGUAACAACUUAGUAGUCUAGUGAAUCAUCGCACCGAAGAUAUACGGGUCUCAGAUCAUUCACCGAAACUAUGUCUAUUUUACUUCUUAUAUAUUGAAGUCAUUUUAAUUAAGAAAUAAGAUAUAAUAUAUAGGAAGAUUAUAGGGUAGAGGAGCAUUCAGUAUGGUAGAAGAAUAGUGUUACAUUAUUUGGACAGAACUGAAGAGAUUAUGCUAACAUGAGUAACGUAGAAAGAAGAUAUAAUACUUCUCGCCGAAUGCGAAAGGGUUAAUAAGCAAUGUUAAACAGCUUAAGAAAUAUAACGGUCUCUAAGAUUAUUUGCAAUUAAUUGUUAAUAAUUGAUGAGUUUUAAUUAGGAAGUCUUUGACCAAGAAAUAAUAAGAUAAAAGGUAUAAAUUACCACUUACCGUACCCUAAACUGACACAAGUUCGUAGGUAGAGAAUACUAAGGCGUAGAGAUAAUACUGUUCAAGGAACUCGGCAAAAUGCGUCCGUACACUUGAUAAGAAGGACUACCCAUUACAAAGAAAAUAGAUGAUUACAUCUGAAAAGUAUGACAAGUUGCGUGGUUAGAAACAAUACUUUAAGACAUCUUAUUUAGCGUAAUCGGGUGACAGAAAAUCGUGAAGCACAACUGUUUACCAAAAACACAGGUAUCUGCUAUGUUUAACAACAUUGUAUAGGUACUGAAUCUUGUCCGAUGUCAUGGGUAUAAUACAGGUACUAUUUUAUGGAUAUUUGUAAAAGCUCUGAUCAAUGACAGUCUUAACUAUAAGGAUUUUAAUAGUAGCGAAAUUCCUUGGCCGUUAAAUGCGGUCCCGCAUGAAUAGAGUAAUGAUGCUUCAGCUGUCUCAAACAGUAUCUCAGUGAAAUUGAAUUAGCCGUGAAGAUGCGGUUUAGGUGUGGGCAGACGGGAAGACCCUAUGCAGCUUUACUAUAGCUAGUCAGGUCUAAAUAAAAAUGGAAGACAGACAAAAGGUACAUGAAUUUAUAAUAAAAUAUAUAAAUAAGGACUUACUUAUUUAUAUUGUUUUAUGUAAUAUUUAGGGCGAUGAAAGACCAUUAGAAGUUUUUAUGAGGUUCCAUUCCUUUAGGAGGAUUGAUGACUAGGUGGUAGUUUAACUGGGACGGUUUCCUCCAAUAGAGUAUCGGAGGACUUCAAAGGUAUGUUUGUGUGAGAUGGAAACUCAUUUGUUAUAUAUGACGAAAUAAAACGUAAAGGUAUAUACAUACUUAACUGCUAGACUGAUAAGUCGAACAGAUACGUAAGUAGGACUUAAUGAUCCGGUGAUUCUUUAUGGAAAGGUCAUCGCUUAAGAAAUAAAAGUUACGCUAGGGAUAACAGGGUAAUAGCUCUAGAGAGUUCAUAUUGUCAGAGCUGUUUGCCACCUCGAUGUCGACUCAUCUUAUCCUCUUGGUGCACAAGCUGAGAAGGGUUCUGCUGUUCGCAGAUUAAAAAGGUACGUGAGUUGGGUUCAAUACGACGUGAGUCAGUAUGGUUCCUAUCUUCCACACCAAAGAAUAAUCGAAUUUAGAUGGAUUUUUAGUACGAAAGGACCAGAAUCUGCGUUUCUAUGGUGUACCAAUUGUUGAAAUAAAAUCGGCAUCGUUGGGUAGCUACAAACGUUAAGGAUAAAAGCUGAAAGCAUAUAAGCUCUUGAAGCCUACUAAAGGAGAUUUACCACUUAUAUAAGUGGAUUAUGUUAGAGAUAGACUAUCUCUUUAAUAGGUCACAGGUGUUCGCAUUGUAAAAUGUUUAGCUUAGUGAUACUAAUGACUGAAACUUACAUUAACCA